rfam:Oryza rufipogon genomic scaffold, chr04
AAAAAGAUAAACCUGGUUUCCUGCCUAACGUUUGACCAUCCGUCUUAUUUAAAAAAUUUAUGAAAAAAUUAAAAAGACAAGUCACGUAUAAAAUAUUAAUCAUAUUUUAUCAUCUAACAACAAUGAAAAUACGAAUUAUAAAAAAAAUUCAUAUAAGACAGACAGUCAAAGUUGGACAUGAAAACUCAGGGUUUGCUUUUUU